AGCGGGAAGCGCGCCUCAAGAUGAGAUCUCCCGGGGCACAAGCCCCCUGAAGGAACCAUGUAGACUACGUGGUUGAUAGGUCAGGUGUGUAAGUACAGCAAUGUAUUGAGCUAACUGAUACUAAUGAUCCGUGCGGCUUGACCAUAUAACCUCA
rnacentral:rRNA from 1 species